CCUANGGGUGGCAGCAGUGAGGAAUUUUGCACAAUGGGGGAAACCCUGAUGCAGCGACGCCGCGUGAGUGACGAAGGCCUUCGGGUCGUAAAGCUCUGUCAGUAGGGAAGAAAGGCGAGAUGGCUAAUAUCCAUUUUGAUUGACGGUACCUACAAAGGAAGCACCGGCUAACUCCGUGCCAGCAGCCGCGGUAAUACGGAGGGUGCGAGCGUUGUUCGGAUUUACUGGGCGUAAAGGGCGCGUAGGCGGUCUGUUAAGUAAUAUGUGAAAGCCCACGGCUCAACCGUGGAAGUGCAUGUUAAACUGGCAGACUUGAGUACUGGAGGGGAGUGUGGAAUUCCCGGUGUAGAGGUGAAAUUCGUAGAUAUCGGGAGGAAUACCGGUGGCGAAGGCGACACUCUGGACAGAUACUGACGCUGAGGCGCGAAAGCGUGGGGAGCAAACAGGAUUAGAUACCCGGNUANUC
rnacentral:rRNA from 1 species